rnacentral:lncRNA from 1 species
CCUUGCACUUGCCAGGCAGGCGCUGUGUUGCUGAGCUAAAUCUCCAGCCCCACAAGUUUUGAAUUGCUUCUGGCAGUGGCCCCCUCCUGUCCAAGUCUUCCCAUCCAGGAGAUAAGGGCGGAGCGCUGGGCCUUCCCACAGAUUUGCAUCAUCCCUGUGUUGAUCACGGAAAACAGGCAGGACAGCUUUUCGUGUUUUUCCCCAGGUUAAAAACAAUUCCCCUUCUGAAGUUUCCCUGAAUUGCAGCAUUUUCUGUUUGGAAGUCGG